CUGUAACAGUUUUGGUGAGAUCACUCUGAAAUGAACAUGUUCACAUCAUGUUUGAACUGGGGUCUCCUGCAUUGCCGGAGGAUUCUUUACCAAGUGAGCUAUCAGGUUAUGAAGCCAACUGUUCCCCUCUGCUUACAGAUGCGCCGAGGCAGGGAGUUCUUUUCCAUCGGAAAUUGGCCUCAGAGGAGGGAAGAUGCUGGAUUGCAGCCCACCAGGCUCCUCUGUCCAUGGGAUUCUCCAGGCAAGAAUACUGGAGUGGAUUGCCAUUUCCUCCUCCAGGGGAUCUUCCUGACCCAGGGACUGAACCUGAGUCUCCUGUGUUUCCUACACUGCAGGCAGAUUCUUUACCUGCUGAUAUGUCCAGAAAGAAAAUAUUAGAUUAUUAUUUUUGAGAUUGAUUCUCAAAAUUUUAAUUGUUAAGCUAUGUGAUUGAUAUUAA